rnacentral:rRNA from 1 species
CAAUAGCGUAUAUUUAAGUUGCUGCAGUUAAAAAGCUCGUAGUUGGAUUUCGGGUGGGAAUGGCCGGUCCGCCGUUUCGGUGUGCACUUGCUACGCCCACCUUGCUGCCGGGGACGUGCUCUUGAGUUCACGCUCGGGACACGGAGUCGGCGAGGUUACUUUGAGUAAAUUAGAGUGUUCAAAGCAGGCCUACGCUCUGAAUACAUUAGCAUGGAAUAACACGAUAGGACUCUGGCCUAUCUUGUUGGUCUGUAGGACCGGAGUAAUGAUUAAGAGGGACAGUCGGGGGCAUUCGUAUUUCAUUGUCAGAGGUGAAAUUCUUGGAUUUAUGAAAGACGAACUACUGCGAAAGCAUUUGUCAAGGAUGUUUUCAUUAA